GAAAUGCGAUACUUGGUGUGAAUUGCAGAAUCCCGUGAACCAUCGAGUCUUUGAACGCAAGUUGCGCCCAUGGUGGAUGAGCCACGCUCGAGACCAAUCACGUGCGAGCCGGUCAGUUCUGGACCCAUCGACGACCCUUUGCGUGCACGCACGCUCCCAACGAGACCUCAGGUCAGGCGGGGCUACCCGCUGAGUUUAA
rnacentral:misc_RNA from 1 species